rnacentral:rRNA from 1 species
UACAGAGGGGGCAAGCGUUGUUCGGAAUUACUGGGCGUAAAGGGCUCGUAGGCGGCCUGUUAAGUCGAACGUGAAAUCCCCGGGCUCAACCCGGGAACUGCGUCCGAUACUGGCAGGCUUGAAUCCGGGAGAGGGAUGCGGAAUUCCAGGUGUAGCGGUGAAAUGCGUAGAUAUCGAGAGGAACACCUGAGGUGAAGACGGGUUGCUGGGCCGACACUGACGCUGAGUGCGCGAAAGCCAGGGGAGCAAACGGG